AUACUACUCCCUUCGCACGGAAAUACUUGUCAUCAAAAUGGAUAAAAAUGAAUGUAUCUAAAAUUAAAAUACAUCUACAUACAUCCAUUUCAAUGACAAGUAUUUCCGGACGGAGGGAGUAUAUC
rfam:Triticum urartu cultivar G1812 contig1014923, whole genome shotgun sequence.